rnacentral:rRNA from 1 species
AUUGUGAAUGCAUUGCAGGCCUUGGCGACUCUCAUGUUCUCAGCAGCCUGUGCCUCCGCGAGCCUGACAAUUUUCUUCAUGUGGGAUGUGAACCUCUGCUGGGCAUACUCGCGGCUGGCCUGCCGGCAGUUCGCACUUUCGGUCACCCUGGCGUUCAUGACGUGGUUGUUGCAAGCUGCAUCAUCUUUCUCUGGGUUUUGGCUACUGGUUUCAUUCUUCUAG